rnacentral:lncRNA from 1 species
UGCUGGACUUUCACUAAAUGUUCAUAUAUAUGAUUCUUCAAUUCAAAACAUUUUAAAAAAACAGGAUUUCUUAUAGAAAUUUAUAUUCUAAAAAUACUGUGAAGAAAUGGACACAUAUCACAUGUGACUGAAACAAAUUUUAAAAAACAGUAUCCAUUCACAUUUAAAUCUAUCACAAUCCUGACUCUUAAACAGGCAGUGGAAAUC